AAUGAACGUUGGCGGCGUGGAUUAGGCAUGCAAGUCGUGCGCGAACUGUAGCAAUACAGGGAGAGCGGCGAAAGGGAGAGUAAUACAUAGGUACCUACCCCCGGGCCUGGGAUAGCGGCGGGAAACUGCCGGUAAUACCAGAUAACGUCCCUGGACCAAAGAUGUGACUUCACCUGGGGAGGGGCCUAUGGCCUAUCAGCUUGUUGGCAGGGUAACGGCCUACCAAGGCAAAGACGGGUAUGGGGCGUGAGAGCGUGCCCCCACUCACUGGGACUGAGACACUGCCCAGACACCUACGGGUGGCUGCAGUCGGGAAUCUUCGGCAAUGGGCGCAAGCCUGACCGAGCGACGCCGCGUGCGGGAUGAAGGCCUUCGGGUUGUAAACCGCUGUCGUAGGGGAGGAAGGGCCUGUGAAGAACAGGACUUGACCGAUCCUAGGAGGAAGGGCCGGCUAAUCUCGUGCCAGCCGCCGCCGUAAUAC
rnacentral:rRNA from 1 species